rnacentral:misc_RNA from 1 species
UCUCCGUUGGUGAACCAGCGGAGGGAUCAUUACAGGACUCGAAAGACUCCCGUAACCCCUGUGAACAUACCUAUAUUCGUUGCCUCGGCGGGUGCUCCGGUUCACUCCGGGGCGCUACGCCCGCCGACGGCCCACAACUCAUUGUCUGACUCUAAGCAUCUCCGAGCCAUACACAAACGAAUCAAAACUUUCAACAACGGAUCUCUUGGUUCUGGCAUCGAUGAAGAACGCAGC